GAAGGGGGCUAGCGUUGUUCGGAAUUACUGGGCGUAAAGCGUGCGCAGGCGGUUAUGUAAGACAGGUGUGAAAUCCCCGGGCUUAACCUGGGAAUUGCAUUUGUGACUGCAUGGCUAGAGUGUGUCAGAGGGGGGUAGAAUUCCACGUGUAGCAGUGAAAUGCGUAGAUAUGUGGAGGAAUACCGAUGGCGAAGGCAGCCCCCUGGGAUAACACUGACGCUCAUGCACGAAAGCGUGGGGAGCAAACAGGAUUAGAUACCCUGGUAGUCCACGCCCUAAACGAUGUCUACUAGUUGUCGGGUCUUAAUUGACUUGGUAACGCAGCUAACGCGUGAAGUAGACCGCCUGGGGAGUACGGUCGCAAGAUUA
rnacentral:rRNA from 1 species